UACGUAGGGUGCAAGCGUUGUCCGGAAUUAUUGGGCGUAAAGAGCUCGUAGGCGGUCUGUCGCGUCGGAUGUGAAAACCCAGGGCUCAACCCUGGGCCUGCAUUCGAUACGGGCAGACUAGAGUUCGGUAGGGGAGACUGGAGUUCCUGGUGUAGCGGUGAAAUGCGCAGAUAUCAGGAAGAACACCCGUGGCUAAGGCGGCUCUCUAGUACGGUACUGACGCUGAGACGCGAAAGCGUGGGGAGCGAACAGG
rnacentral:rRNA from 1 species